rnacentral:rRNA from 1 species
GGCCUAACACAUGCAAGUCGAGCACGCCUUCGGGUGAGCGGCGGACGGGUUAGUAACGCGUGGGAACGUACCCUUCUCUACGGAAUAGCCUUUGGAAACGAAGAGUAAUACCGUAUACGCCCUUUGGGGGAAAGAUUUAUCGGAGAAGGAUCGGCCCGCGUUAGAUUAGGUAGUUGGUAGGGUAAUGGCCUACCAAGCCGACGAUCUAUAGCUGGUUUGAGAGGAUGAUCAGCAACACUGGGACUGAGACACGGCCCAGACUUCUACGGAAGGCAGCAGUAGGGAAUCUUGGACAAUGGGCGAAAGCCUGAUCCAGCCAUGCCGCGUGAGUGAUGAAGGCCCUAGGGUUGUAAAGCUCUUUCGCCAGGGAAGAUAAUGACGGUACCUGGUAAAGAAACCCCGGCUAACUCCGUGCCAGCAGCCGCGGUAAUACGGAGGGGGUUAGCGUUGUUCGGAAUUACUGGGCGUAAAGCGCACGUAGGCGGAUUAAUAAGUCAGGGGUGAAAUCCCGAGGCUCAACCUCGGAACUGCCUUUGAUACUGUUAAUCUUGAGUUCGAGAGAGGUGAGUGGAAUUCCGAG